UCUGCUGUGAGCUCAGUCGGUUAGAGCGUGGGUCUAAUGGGGUUAUUCAGGGUCGAAAAAAACAAUUUUUUUCCGACCCUGAAUAACCCCAUAAUAAGCCCAAGGUCGCAGGUUCGACCCCUGCUGGCGGCA
rnacentral:tRNA from 1 species